GAAAUGCGAUAAUUAAUGUGAAUUGCAGAAUUCAGUGAAUCAUCGAGUCUUUGAACGCACAUUGCGCCCCCUGGUAUUCCGGGGGGGCAUGCCUGUCCAAGCGUCAUUGCUGCCCUCAAGCACGGCUUGUGUGUUGGGCUUCCGUCCCUGGCAACGGGGACGGGCCCAAAAGGCAGUGGCGGCACCAUGUCUGGUCCUCGAGCGUAUGGGGCUUUGUCACCCGCUCCCGUAGGUCCAGCUGGCAGCUAGCCUCGCAACCAAUCUUUUUAACCAGGUUGACCUCGGAUCAGGUAGGGAUACCCGCUGAACUUAAGC
rnacentral:misc_RNA from 1 species